rnacentral:lncRNA from 1 species
UGGAGAUGGAAGCUAUGAAUGGCAUUUUUUUGCCCAGGAAGAAUAUUGUAGUGAAAGUUGUAGCACUGAUCUGAUGCUGCUCUCUCACAAAGCAGUCUUACUUUUAGUACUUUUUGAUAGAUUUGCAAACAAGCUGUGUGACACAAUACUUUCCAUAAAAUGUUCUGUGUAUUCAUAGCUUUGGUGAAGGAAGAUAAAGAUGAAUUCUGCACCUGGAAGAUUGCCUGAGGAAAACUGGCCCAAGCAGUUGAAUUUUAGCGAAGGGGUGAUGCUGCAUUGCUGCAAUGGUUUGAAGCCAGAUCACGUUUUCCAGGAGCUUUAUUGCAAAACCAGAAUUAAAGCUCAGCCUAUUCGAUCUGUUUGUAUCAAUAAAACAGUCAAGAAAAUGCUGAUGACAGUUGAACUAUUGGAAGUUUAUCAAGUUUUAUGGACUAAUGGAAUGUAGAUCACCAGUACUUACGUUAAUAAUGAUUUUAUAGUACUAUUUUUAAACAAAGUCAUAGAUUAUCAGAUCUAUUCUUUAAUUCUCUGUAUUUUUUUUUUUUAAUAUUGAACUCAGAAGUUCCAACAGAUGCAGUUUGCUUAUUGAGGAAAAACAUGUUAAUAAAAGAUUAACUGGAGAAUAGCUAAUCAACAUUCGCAUAUCCUUUUCAUUCAUUCUUGAUUGCAUACUCACUUCUUUUCCCUCUUUGUAUUCUUAUGUGUGCAUGUACCUAUUUAUCCAGGUGCGUAAUUUGUUUUAUAGUUUUAUUGUACUUGAUCUAAUUUGUAAAGCUAAUAGUUUUGCUUUGUAAAGCUAAUAGUUAAAUGUUACUGCUUUGGUAAUUUUGAGAAUUUGCAGGCAUAUUAAGAGCUGCUUACACUGAUAGUCAUAACUGAAAGGGUGGUACAGAGGAUCACAACAGUACACUGGGAAUUUUUAGUUCUGAUUUCAUUGUUUUAUUACAAAGGGUUAUGAAAGGGAAAGUAACAUUUGUAUUUCUUUUGAAUUUUUAUUUGAACCACAGAAGAGAACCAUUUGGAAUCUAGGUGAUGUGAUGUGCUAGACCAUGUACCCACGUGAUACGGAAUAAGAUUCAUUUGUUUUUCUUGGCAUCUUGUUUAGAUUGCAGAGGUGUAUCUUGAACUUUAUGCUUCUAAGCAAGCUGGAGACAGUGAGUGUUUGUCAUGAUUAGCUGACUUGUACUGAAGCUCUGUAUUCUAGGGCAGGUUGCUGUGCCUGCUGUGGUUUGUGGUGCUCAGGGCUGCUGCCUAGCUCUAGGGCAGCUAGUACAUUAACAAAGAACCAUAAACAGAAGCCAAAUGGUGAUCUGUGAGACACACAUCUUCAGAUAUUUUGUCCCAUUUUCAAGAAGCAGCGCAAGUAUGAAGUCUGCAUUAUAUCCUAAAUAGGUAUAGCCACUUGGUGUUGCGGGGAAAAAAAAAAUAAAUCUGUCAUAACUGUGCUGAUAACUGCCCUCAUGCAAGUACAGCUAAAUAUGCUACUUCUGUCAACAAGCCUUUGGGACAGAUUUCCAGAGAGACUAUGGAAUCUGUGGACAAAGUAUUGUCUUGCGCUGACCCUGCCCUGAGGAGGUUGUUGGACUGGUUCCCUCCUGAGACUCUAGAGUGAGUUAUUAUGGAAAAGAUUUCAAAACUUCAUGUUUGUAGACAAAAUGUACCUUUCUGCUGGAGCCAUCUUGACAUAGCUGUAGGGAUGCAUUAGACCCAUCUACACGUGAAACCUGCAAAGGUCUUUUUUUUUGCCUUGUUGUCUGUAGAGUUGUAAGGAGUGGUUGUGCGAAGAUACUAGGAACUAGUAGAGCGGUGAAUUUUUUCAAGCUGUUAUAAAAUACCUUACAGACAGCUGUUAGGGAAACUGUGAAAUUGCACAAAACCAUGGUGAUACAUGGAAAUAGCAGAAUUGGAGAAUUUCUGUACUCUAAGGGAGUGCAAGUGGCUUCCAGACCUGAGAUCUUGCAAGCAGCAGAGUGGAAUGCGAUUAGGAAUGUUUUAAGAAACAAGAAGAAAUUUUGUAUGAGCUGUUAAUAUCCAGCUUAGAGCAACUGUUGUUGUGAAUACUGUUUAUUGUUUGCGGUUGUCUUUGUGCACCUAGUGUGAUGCAUAACAUCCAACAAAUAAUUGCACCUGUCUUGUCAUGCUUGUGUUCGUUCUUACUAAAAUGUUGAUCAUUGUGCAGGGACACCCAGAAUUAAGUGCUUUCUCUACAGAUACUUGUCCUUGGAAAAGACUUUGCUAAGACACUCAUUUGGUUCAUAUUCUGGUCUUUUUUUUUUUUUUUUUUUUUUUUUUUUUUUUUUUUUAAGGAAUAUUUCCUAUGUUUGAAUGCCCAAGUGUAAGAAAGAAUUAUUGAAAACCUGACUAUAAAUAAUGUCUUAAAAGUAACAGCACCUGGAGUUAGGCUGUCCUCAAACAUUUUGUUCAUAGCUGGUAUUUAACUGUAAUCACACAGAUGUGCUGACUUAUUGUUUUUUUUUCCUAUAUCCAAAAUACCAUUAAUGAAAGAUAAUGUUUUCUAUGCAGGCAGGUUGUGCUAUUCUGGAUCAUUUCAGUUAUUAACUCCCCAGUAUCAGAAAUUUCCAAAUAUAACAGAAAAUUAACUUCUGCAAGGCACAAGUUCCUUCCUAUUGUCUAUAAGUAUGUGGAGGUGUAUCUUAGUGGGUAGGUGUGCCUCAAGAAUUUUAAUUUUCUUUCAUUGCAAUUAAUGUUUACAACCUCAUUGGGUUUUUAAGUGUUAAGAAGCAUUGAACUGCAUUUUCUAAAGAUUCUGCCAGUGCCGUGGGUGUCAUGACAGUUUCUAGGGCAUUAUCUGACAGAAUUUUGAUCAAUGUUAGUAUAUCCAAGUAUGUAUGACCAAAAUGAAUUUAUUCCAGAUUCAAUCUUGGUUAGGGCUGACUAAUUUUUGUUGUUUAUACAAAUAAAACAAAAUGCAAACUCUGUGGACUAAAAAAAAAAUAUGAUAAAGAUUCUUUAUUAAAGAUUUUAACUGAAGAUCUUUGCUAUUCAAUUACAUCUGUUUUUCACAAUCAAGGAGCCAAUCAUUUAUUUGUUUUAUAAGUAGUAACGUAUCCCUUUUAGGCAAUGACUUUGUCAAAUGCAGCACUAUUUUAUUUUCUUUCUCCUGCUUUCUUUAUUUUAUUAAACUUCUAUUAAAUGUAAUUAAGUAUGAAAUCAAAUGUUCCUAUAAAAUUCUCACUUUUAUAAGUUAGAGAAUGUCAAUUUUUAUUAACUUGACUGCAUUUUGAAGAGUAAAAGGAAUAUAAUGCUUGCUUUAUUUGCUGUACAGUGUAAGACUCCUGCUGUUUCAUUUCUAUUAAAUAAUAUGAAUUUUCCAGUAAGUGAUAAGUAGCUGUUUAGUAAGGAGAGCAAAGAAUUUCUUGGCUUGGUAAAUACAGGUUGCCUCAUCUUCCAUGCCAUUAAAUAACAGAGUUGCUCAGGUGAUGGGAAAAGUGGUGCUAGCAAAUAGCAGAAGUUUCUUCUGUGGUUGCUCGUUGUGAGAAGCUGCUUAUGGGAGGAUAAAAUGAAAGAGCUUUUACUCUCUUCAGCUCAUUCAAAGACAAGACAAAGUUUAACUCUUUGAAACUGCAAGUGACAUACCAGUAACUGCAGCAAUCCCGUAAAAUUCACACUGAAGUAAUAAGUACAAAGAUGUGUCUUGCUGUAUUUUCACUCACCACCUGAGUUAAGUAAUAAAGUUGGUUGCAGCAAGCUGCAGUGUUCAAAGUAGUGUAAUAACAGCGUGACGGACUGUGUGCUCAGGAAGGCUGUGUGAGAGAGCAUUACUUCAUUGUCAGUGAAGCCCUGUUCUUCAAACUCUCUAUGAUUUAUAGCAUCUCUGUUGCAGUUUGUUUAACUGUAAUUACUUCCUUACAGUUAAAAAUGUUUCUCAGAUGUUCAUAUAUUCGUAAGAAUCCAGUACCAAAAUAUAGUACUGUACCAAAAUAUAGCAUAGUCUAUUUUAUAUACUAUACUAUAUAUAGUAUAGUAUAUAUAGUACCAGAAUAUAAUAUAGUAAUAUAGUGUUUUUGGAAAAUUAAGUGAAAUCUAUAUGCUUAUGUCUCAUGUUUUAUUGUCUCACAGUUAUUUGACACGAGAAAAUAAAACAGGGUAAAUAUAUACAGGGAAUGCAGGAAUGAAGCAGUGAAGAACCCACUUGUGGUCAGUUGCUUCAUUGUAUCAGCCAACACCUGCUAGUGUGGACAAUGACUGAUCUGGGGGAUAGAGGAGGAUCUGGAGCUUAUAGUAACCAAGUGAGGAAAGUCAGUAUAAACAAUGUUGUAGAAAAGAAUGGUAGGGGAAUGCCUGCACUUAAUACACCUUGGGAAAUAAUACACCUUGAGAAAUACACCUAGCUGUUCCAGUAGACCAGAGAGAAUUAAUUAAUUCAACUUUUAGCUUUGUAAGAUACUCUUGAGUAAUAUGAAUAGAAAUGAUAGGCAAAUUUUAAUAAAACAGAAUGGAAAAGACCAAAGGGUGGCAGUUUUAGGGAGACCAACAUUUAUUUUAUAUUAAUUUUGUUUUAUUGCAAGUUUGCACAGUCUAUCCAGUAUGCUCCCUGCACAGUGCUCUUGUUUCAGCUUCAACUCAUUGAAGAGGAAUGGAGCAUAUCGAUGGCAAGCUUCCAGUGCUGUAAAUAAAUAACUCAGAAACAUUUCUCAUGCAUCCAGGAAAUGUGGCAUGUGAUAGUAAAACAAAAUUCAGAAGAAAGUAUUAGUAAUAAUAACUGAAAACCAUCAAUCGGAAUUUACUCCGGAAGCUUAAUGGAGGAUAAAUGUUUUAUAUCGAGGCAAUCUGGCUCCCAUUUUGCAGUCAGUUUAUGUAGGCAGCCAUUCAUGUAUGUGUUAGGGUGGAGAAGGGAAAAUAAUGUGAGCUUUAAAAGCUAUGUUAUGUAGCUCAGAGUAUCUUGUUAAAGCAAGCUAACGCCAAAUACAUUGUUUUAAUCUGAAAAUAAUCUUUUGCAGUAGGAACAUAAUUUCAGUAGUACUUCAGCUGUGGCACUAAGGCUGCCUCUAUAAAGUCACUUAAAUAACUUAAGUGGGGGAAAAAAAAAAAAAAAAAGUAGAACUCCUUGAAUCCAAAGAUAGCUGUCUAGGCAAGGAUUUGGGGUAUAUGGAUAUGUGCGUGUCCAAAGUGUGGUUAUCUGGUAUGGAUAAUUGGUAGUGUUUGCACUUCUUAUUAAUAGGUUUUGUUUUUAUUGGAUGUUUAAGUUAAAUCUGGUUACGUGCAUCUGUGGAGUCCUGUGGAGUCCUGUGGAGGAAGGAAAUUGGUCCAAUUCUAUUUCAAGUGAGUUUCAUCAGGCUGCUUUUGCUUGAAUCUGCCUUUGCUCUAUUUUACACUUACAGCAAGAUACUUGUAAAAUGUCAUAUGUCCAGGGGCGAUCUUGUUUCUCCUUUGCAGCUGUGGAUUGUGAUGAGGUUAUAUAUUAUGAUCUUAAACUUGUCUGCAGAAGUUAGGUGCUACAGAACUAUCGUUCUGGGACGAUAAUGGUGACAUGUAUGGGAUCUCUGAAGUCAGAAUGACAUCACUGAUGUCUGAUAUUACCGAAAACCAGGUCAAGUAAAUUUCCAAGAAAUCAGGACAAUAGGCGACAAAGGUCAAUGAAAAGAAGGAGAAAAUGGGAUUACAGUUGCAUAUCUGAAAACUAAAACAUCUGUUUUCUUAUCUCCUUGCAUUCUGGAAACUGUGUCUUCUGUUUCUCUUCCUGAUUAACUGUGGCAGAUUCAGUCGUGGCCCCUGGAGCUGCUUUCAAAUCAACACAGAGCUGACAGUAACAUCUGGAAUAAAAGGAGUAAGUUUUUGAGAGGCUGCUCUUAAGAGCUAAGUAUGGAACUACAAAUAGCACUACAGGAUUCCAGAUUUGCAUUCAAUAGUGUGAGAUGCACAAAUAUGUUGUGGCCAGAAGCUAGGAUGAAAUCCCUUUGAGAGAAGAUUUAGAGCUUGAAGAUCGAAGCUUUCUGAGAAAGAAAGGAUGGGAGCUAGUCUGAGCAAUCAGAGGAAGCAUGCAGCCGGAAAUUCUGUUCACCAAAUCUAUGAGUUUCUUUUAGUAUCUGCUUGUUGAAAAAAGCAAUACAGUGCAUUCUCGACAUGCAGCUCCCAAAUCAGGGCAGAAAACAAAUAUAUCUGAGACUACUUGUGGUUUCAAACCAUUGUCAUCUUUUCCUUUAUCUUCUUUCUCCUCAUAAACCUAUGACUCUUUUAAAAGAACUCUACUUCAUGCUUUCUUCCUUUAGUACUGACAGACCGUGUGCUCUCUCAGCUGCUGGAAGGGGUUGUUGGAAAACCCUUCUUGUAAUUGUCAUAAAGACUACCAAGCUCAGAGGAUAUCCAUCUGAAAUUAUUUCACUUUUUAAUGAACAGUCUGUGCCUACUUGCCUGGUCCAAUAAAACAUGGCAUCUUGUGGCUUUGCCUGUUAAAUUUUAGUAGGAGUCAUGACCUCUGAGGGAUACAGUUUUUCUUCUACAGCUACCCUAACUUCUUUAUUAGCUGCAGCUUUUGUGACAGAAGGAAGUCAAGCAGUAUAGACCUUAUAUUCUCAUCUAAUGAUAAAAACUUUUUCUUCUCCUGCUGCUUUCCUCUUCUUCAUCAAAUUAAAUUAAAUUAAAUUAAAAUGCUCAUGUUUGCCACUAAUUAUUCUAACUGCUAGGGAUGCUUUCAGUCCUCAUUCCAGCCAUAAUAAGAAAGGCCC